GCUUGUCUCAAAGAUUAAGCCAUGCAUGUCUAAGUAUAGUACCUUAUACUGCGAAACUGCGAAUGGCUCAUUAAAUCAGUUAUAAUUCAUUUGAUGGUACUUACUACUCGGAUAACCGUAGUAAUUCUAGAGCUAAUACAUGCUGUUUAGCCUGACUUCUAGGAAGGGCUGUAUUUAUUAGAUAACAAACCAAUAUUCCUCGUGUCUAUUGUGAUGACUCAUAAUAACUGAUCGAAUCGCAUGGGCUUUGCCCGCGAUACAUCAUUCAAGUUUCUGCCCCAUCAGCUUUCGAUGGUAGUGUAUUGGACUACCAUGGCUUUAACGGGUAACGGAGGAUUAGGGUUCGAUUCCGGAGAGGGAGCCUGAGAAACGGCUACCACAUCCAAGGAAGGCAGCAGG
rnacentral:rRNA from 1 species